rnacentral:lncRNA from 1 species
UAUUGAAUCGCGCACGAUUGCCAAACGAUAACCUUCUACAACCUGUUGAUUCUACGAAUACCAGCAAAUAGACAACAAAAUUCUAAUUCAAAGAAUUUUGGAAAAUAAGAAAAGUCUAUUAUUCAUAAAAACUGCUGCUUCCCACCAUAAAAAACGUUUAAAUAACAAAACCCUAAAAGCGUAAUCCAAAACAGAAAAGGAAAACUAAUAAGGAUAAUUAAAAAAAUAACCCGAUAACAAUAAAAUAUAAUUUUGAAGGCCUAAACGAUGGAAUUUGACCAAAAAACACUGCUGUUAACGAGCAUAAUGCUCGUGAUUUUGAUCGUUGGCCUGUUUCCAAUAAAAUUAGGCUCCGAAAAUGCAAAUAUCUGACAUUCCACAAUUGAAAUAAUUUACCAAAUUACCACUGGAUCAAAUCUUUCCAUAAACUGGAUCAAAUCUAUCAAAUCAUUCCAUAAACUGACACGCUUACUCUUCAACCGCAUCAGUGACCCCCUGAGAAAUCCUCGUGUUGCAACUCCUUUUAUAUUUUUUGUGUAAUUCGGUGGAAAAAAGAGCAUACUAGUGAACGUGUCUUGGUAAAUGCACAUGCACGACGUUAAUGUCACUACGUCCCACCCACAUGUUGGAAUAUAUGAAUAAAAAUGGAGAAUUCUAACGGGUGCGAUCAUACCAGCACUAAUGCACCGGAUCCCAUCAGAACUCUGAAGUUAAGCGUGCUUGGGCGAGAGUAGUACUAGGAUGGGUGACCCCCUAGGAAGUUCUCGUGUUGCACCCCUUUUUAUAUUUUUUUAUGAUAUUAGGUGAAAAAAAACGUACUAGUGAACGUGUCUUGGUAAACUCGCAUGCACCACGUAAAUGCCCCUGUGUUCCACUUAUAUGUGGGAAUAUAGGAAUAAAAAUGGAAAAUCCUAAAGAAUGCGAUGAUACGAGUACUAAUUUACCAGAUCCAUCAGAACUCCAAAGUUUAGCAUGCCUGGGCGAGAGUAGUACUAGGAUGGGUAACUGAUGUGGCGGAAGUACAACAAAAAGUUUUAUCAAUCGUUGAAUCGCGCACGAUUGCCCAACGAUAACCUUCUACAACCUGUUGAUUCUACGAAUACCAGCAAAUAGACAACAAAAUUCUAAUUCUGAAAAUUUUGAAAAAUAAGAAAAGUCUAUUAUUCAUAAAAACUACUGCUUCCCACCAUAACAAAAGUUUAAAUAACAAAACCCUAAAAGCAGAAUCCAAAACGGAAAAGAAAAACUAAUAAGGAUAAUUAAAAAAAUAACCCGAAAAUAAUAAAAUAUAAUUUUGAAGGCCUAAAUGAUAGAAUUUGACCAAAAAACCAUGCAGUUCAUGAGCACAGUGCUCGUGAGUUUUGACCGUUGACCUAUUUCCAAUGAAAUUAGGCUCCGAAAAUGCAAAAAUCCGACACUCCAAACUUCAAAGAAAUUACCAAAUUGCCACUGGAUCAAAUCUUUCCAUAAACUAGAUCAAAUCUAUCAAAUCCUUCCAUAAACUGACAUGCUUGCUCUUCAACAGCAUCAGUGACCCACUGAGAAAUCCUCGUGUUGCAACUCCUUUUAUAUUUUGUGUGUAAUUCGGUGGAAAAAAGAGCGUACUAGUGAACAUGUCUUGGUAAACGCACAUACACGACGUUAAUGUCACUACGUCCCACCCAUAUGUGGGAAUAUAUGAAUAAAAAUGGAGAAUUCUAACGGGUGCGAUCAUACCAGCACUAAUGCACCAGAUCCCAUCAGAACUCCGAAGUCAAGCGUGCUUAUGCGAGAGUAGUACUAGGAUGGGUGACCCCCUGGGAAGUCCUCGUGAUGCACCCCUUUUUAUAUUUUUUUUUGUGAUAUUCGGUGAAAAAAGAAUGUACUAGUGAACGUGUCUUGGUAAACUCGCAUGCACGACUUAAAUGCCCCUGCGUUCCACCCAUAUGUGGAAAUAUAGGAAUAAAAAUGAAAAAUCCUAAAGAAUGCGAUCAUACCAGUACUAAUUUACUAGAUCCAUCAGAACUCCAACGUUAAGCGUGUAUGGGCAAGAGUAGUACUAGGAUGGGUGACUGACGUGGUGGAAGUACAACAAAAAGUUUUAUCAAUCGUUGAAUCGCGCAAGAUUGCCAAACGAUAACCUUCUACAACCUGUUGAUUCUACGAAUACCAGCAAAUAGGCAACCAAAUUCUAAUUCAGAGAAUUUUGGAAAAUAAGAAAAGUCUAUUAUUCAUAAAAACUGUUGCUUCCCACCAUAACAAACGUUUAAUACCAAAAUCCUAAAAGCAGAAUCCAAAAGGUAAAAGGAAAAUUUAAAAAAUAACCCAAAAAUAAUAAAAUAUAAUUUUGAAGGCGUAAAUAAUAGAAUUUGACCAAAAAACCUUGCAGUUCACGAACAAAGUGCUGGUGACUUUUGAUCGUUGACUUGUUUCCAAUGAAAUUAGGCUCCGAAAAUGCAAAAAUCAGAUACUCCAAACUUAAAAGAAAUUACCAAAUUCCUACUGGAUCAAAUCUUUUCAUAAAUUAGAUCAAAUCUAUCAAAUCCUUACAUAAUCUGACACGAUUGCUCUUUAACCGCAUCAGUGACCCCUUGAGAAAUCCUCGUGUUGCAACUCCUUUUAUAUUUUUUGUGUAAUUCGAUGGAAAAAAGAGCGUACUAGUGAACAUGUCUUGGUAGACGCACAUGCAUGACGUUAAUGUCACUACGUCCCACCCACAUGUAGUAAUAUAGGAAUAAAAAUGGAAAAUUCUAACUGGUGCGAUCAUACCAGUACUAACGCACAGGAUCCCAUUAGAACUCUGAAGUUAAGCGUGCUUGGGCGAGAGUAGUACUAGGAUGGGUGACCCCCUGGGAAGUCCUCGUGUUGCACCCCUUUUUAUAUUAUUUUUUUGCGUUAUUCAGUGAAAAAAGAACGUACUAGUGAACGUGUCUUGGUAAACUCGCAUGCACGAUGUAAAUUCCCCUACGUUCCACCCAUAUGUGGAAAUAUAGGAAUAAAAUUGGAAAAUCCUAAAGUAUGCGAUCAUACCAGUACUAAUUUACCAGAUCCAUCAGAAUUCCGAAGUUAAGCGUGCUUGGGCGAGAGUAGUACUAGGAUGGGUGACUGAUGUGGCGGAAGUAUAACAAAAAGUUUUAUCAAUCGUUGAAUUGCGCACGAUUGCAAAACGAUAACCUUCUACAACCUGUUGAUUCUACGAAUACCAGCAAAUAGGCAACAAAUUCUAAUUUAGAGAAUUUUGGAAAAUAAGAAAAGUCUAUUAUUCAUAAAAAUUGCUGCUUCCCACCAUAACAAACGUUUAAAUAACAAAACCCUAAAAGCGAAAUCCAAAAUGGAAAAGGAAAACUAAUAAGGAAAAUUAAAAAAAUAACCCAAAAAUAUUAAAAUAUAAUUUUGAAGGCCUAAACGAUAGAAUUUGACCAAAAAACCCUGUAGUUUACGAGCAAAACGCUGGUGACUUUUUCUCAUUGACCUGUUUCCAAUGAAAUUAGGCUCCGAAAACGCAAAAAUAUGACACUCCAAACUUCAAAGAAAUUACCAAAUUGCCACUGGAUCAAAACUUUCCAUAAACUGGAUCAAAUCUAUCAAAUCCUUCCAUAAACUGACACGCUUGCUCUUCAACCGCAUCAGUGACACCCUGAGAAAUCCUCGUGUUGCAACUCUUUUUAUAUUUUAUGUGUAAUUCGGUGGAAAAAAAGAGUGUACUAGUGAACGUGUCUUGGUAAAUGCACAUGCACGACAUUAAUGUUACUACGUCCCACCCACAUUUGGGAAUAUAGGAAUAAAAAUGGAGAAUUCUAAUGGGUGCGAUCAUACCAGCACUAAUGCAUUGAAUCCCAUCAGAACUCCGAAGUUAAGCGUGCUUGGGCAAGGGUAGUACUAGGAUGGGUGACCCCUUGGGAAGUCCUCGUGUUGCUCCCUUUUUUAUAUUUUUUUUGUUGUGAUAUUCGGUGAAAAAAGAACGUACUAGUGAACGUGUCUUGGUAAACUCGCAUGGACGAAGUAAAUGCCCCUGCGUUCCACCCAUAUAUGGAAAUAUAGGAAUAAAAAUGGAAAAUCCUAAAGAAUCCGAUCAUACCAGUACUAAUUUACCAGAUCCAUCAGAACUCCGAAGUUAAGCGUUCCUGGGCGAGAGUAGUACUAGGAUGGGUGACUGACGAGGCGGAAGUACAACAAAAAGUUUUAUCAAUCAUUGAAUCGCGCACGAUUGCCAAACGAUAACCUUCUAUGACCUGUUGAUUCUACGAAUACAAGCAAAUAGGCAAUAAAAUUCUAAUUCAGAGAAUUGUAGAAAAUAAGAAAAGUCUAUUAAUCAUAAAAAUUGCUGCUUCCCACCAUAACAAACGUUUAAAUAACAAAACCCUAAACGCGGAAUCCAAAAUGGAAAAGGAAAACUAAUAAGGAAAAUUAAAAAAAUAACCCGAAAAUAAUAAAAUAUAAUUUUGAAGGCCUAAACGAUAGAAUUUGACCAAAAAACCAUGCAGUUCACGAGUAAGGCGCUCGUGCAUUUUGAUCGUCGACCUGUUUCCAAUGAAAUUAGGCUCUGAAAAUACAAAAAUCUGACACUCCAAACUUGAAAGAAAUUACUAAAUUGCCACUAGAUCAAAUCAUUCUAUAAACUUGAUCAAAUCUAUCCAAUCCUUCUAUAAACUAACACGCUUGCUCUUCAACCGCAUCAGUGACCCCCCUGAGAAAUCCUCGUGUAACAGCUCCUUUUAAAUUUUUUGUGAAAUUUGAUGGAAAAAAGAGCAUAAUAGUGAAUGUGUCUUGGAAAACGCACAUACACGACUUUAAUGUCACUACGUCUCACCCACAUGUGGGAAUAUAGGAAUAAAAAUGGAGAAUUCUAACGGGUGCGAUCAUACCAGCACUAAUGCAUCGGAUCCCAUCAAAACUCCGAAGUCAAGCGUGUUUGGGCGAGAGUAGUACUUGGAUGGCUGACCCCCUGGGAAGUCCUCAUGUUGCACCCCUUUUUAUAUUAUUUUUUUUACGAUAUUCGGUGAAAAAAGAACGUACUAGUGAAGGUUCUUGGUAAACUCGCAUGCAUGACGUAAAUGCCCCUGCGUUCCACCCAUAUAUGGAAUUAUAGGAAUAAAAAUGGAAAAUCCUAAAGAAUGCGAUCAUACCAGUACUAAUUUACCAGAUCCAUCAAAAAUCCGAAGUUAAGCGUGCCUAGGCGAGAGUAGUACUAGGAUGGGUGACUGACGUGGCGGAAGUACAACAAAAAGUUUUAUCAAUCGUUGAAUCGCACACGAUUGCCAAACAAUAACAUUCUACAACCUGUUGAUUCUACGAAUAUCAGCAAAUAGGCAACAAAAUCCUAAUUCAGAGAAUUUUGGAAAAUAAGAAAAGUCUAUUAUUUAUAAAAACUGUUGCUUCCUACCAUAACAAACAUUUAAAUAACAAUACCCUAAAAGCAGAAUCCAAAACGGAAAAGGAAAACUAAUAACGAUAAUUAAAAAAAUAACCAGAAAAAUAAUAAAAUAUAAUUUUGAAGGCCUAAACGAUAUAAUUUGACCAAAAACCAUGCAGUUCACAAGCUAGGUGCUCGUGAGUUUUGAUCAUUGACCUGUUUCCAAUGAAAUUAGACUCCAAAAAUGCAAAAAUACUACACUCCAAACUUAAAAGAAAUUACCAAAUUGCCACUGGAUCAAAUCUUUUCAUAAACUGGAUCAAAUUUAUCAAAUUCUUCCAUAAACUAACACGCUUGCUCUUCAACCGCAUCAGUGACCCCCCUGAGAAAUCCUCGUGUUGCAACUCUUUUUAUAUUUUUUGUGUAAUUUGGUGAAAAAAAAGAGCGUACUAAUGAACGUGUCUUGGUAAAUGCACAUGCAUGACGUUAAUGUCACUACGUCCCACCCACAUGUGGGAAUAUAGGAAUAAAAGUGGAGAAUUCAAAUGGGUGCGAUCAUACCAGCACUAAUGCAAUGGAUUCCAUCAGAACACCGAAGUUAAGUGUUUUUGGGCGAGAGUAGUACUAGGAUGGGUGACCCCUUGGGAAGUCCUCGUGUUGCACCCUUUUUAUAUUUUUUUAUGAUAUUCGGUGAAAAAGGAAUGUACUAGUGAAUGUGUCUUGGUAAACUCGCAUGCACGACGUAAAUGCCCAUACGUUCCAUCCAUAUUUGGAAAUAUAGAAAUAAAAAUGGAAAAUCCUAAAGAAUUCGAGCGUACCAGUACUAAUUUACCAGAUCCAUCAGAACUCCGAAGUUAAGCGUGCCUGGGCUAGAGUAGUACUAGGAUGGGUGACUGACGUGGCAGAAGUACAACAAAAAGUUUUUUCAAUAGUUGAAUCGCGCACGAUUGCCAAACGAUAACCUUCUACAACCUAUUGAUUCUAUGAAUACCAGCAAAUAGGCAACAAAAUUCUAAUUCAGAGAAUUUUGGAAAAUAAGAAAAGUCUAUAUUAGCAAAAUAACUCUCUUCAUGAAUAUGAAAGAAUAAUACCCCUUACCUCAAAAGAAGACUGGAUACUGGAAUAGUGAGGUAGCAGACUUCUCUUCUUCUUUCUCUCUAUAAUUUCUCUCUAUAAUAAUUGCUCUAUAGCUUUAGUGAAUUGGUGAGAAAUGAAGGAAGAAUGAGCUUCUAUUUAUAGGAAAAUAUAGUUUCGAUAAUUGCACGUUUUGGGGCUCGAAAUAUUACAGUAUAAUACCUUCCUCUUUUCCUUCAUUUUUAAUUUAGUCCUGCAAGUAUUAUCAAACUUGCACCACCUCCCCUAAUAGUAAAUCAUGUGAAUCAAUAGUAAAUCAUGUGAAUCAAUAGUUCUAGACAUGUGAAAAUACGAAUUACAGUAUAGUACCUCCAUCUAUACCUCCAUUUUUAACUUAGUCAUGCAAGUAUUAUCAAUCUUGCACCAACUCCCCUAAUAGUAAAUGAAUGUGAAUCAAUAGUACACACAUGUGAACAAAUAGUUAUAAUCAUGUGAAUCAAUAGCAAUUAAUUGCUCAUUUAUCCGGUUAAUUACCCGAUUGGUCAAUAUAACCUCCAGACAUCAAUUAUUAUCGAAAUAAAUGUCAAUUUUCACUAACACUAAUAAUUCCAACACAAUGGAACUAUCAAUUUCAUCUUUAAUCAACACGAACUUAUUCAUCAUUAAUAUUAUAAUUCAUAAUAUUUAACAACCAGGUCGUUCCCAGGAAAGAGGGGGCUUUCCGAUAAGGAUUUCUCCUUAUUGGCGCGCAAUUAGCUGACUGUGACACCCCCAAAUCCAGGUUACCUAACCCCCGAAUUUGGUGUUCACGGUCCACAAUAUAAUACCAUCUAACUACCCAUUUUAAUAUAAAUAGGAAUACAUAACUCAUUAACAUAGAUUGUUAAUACAUAAGUCUCAGGUCUACUAACCUUAACAUUACAAACAUACCCCUUUAGAUAUACAAAAAGGGUUUACAAUAUGACAUAAUUAUAAUAAUGUUCAUCAUAACUAAUUUAUUGCUAAACCUUUUCCCUUGCACUUCUUCGCAGCACCUUCUGCAACUUCAUCCCUGGCUGAAAAGUUUUAUUUAUAGCAAGGGUGAGCAACAAGUUUGCUCCGCAAGUUAAGAGAUACAAUAAAGAUAUAGAAAUCAAUAUCAAACCUUNNNNNNNNNNNNNNNNNNNNNNNNNNNNNNNNNNNNNNNNNNNNNNNNNNNNNNNNNNNNNNNNNNNNNNNNNNNNNNNNNNNNNNNNNNNNNNNNNNNNAUAUUUUUUGUGUAAUUCGGUGGAAAAAAGAGCGUACUAGUGAACGUGUCUUGGUAAACGCACAUUCACUUCGUUAAUGUCACUACGUCCCACCCACAUGUGGGAAUAUAGGAAUAAAAAUGGAGAAUUCUAACGGGUGCGAUAAUACCAGCAAUAAUGCACCGGAUCCCAUCAGAACUCCGUAGUUAAGCGUGCUCGGGCGAGAGUAGUACUAGGAUGGGUGACCCCCUGGGAAGUCCUUGUGUUGGACCCCUUUUUAAUAUAUAUUUUUUUUGCUAUAUUCGGUGAAAAAAGAGCGUACUAGUGAACGUGUCUUGCUAAAAUCGCAUGUACGACAUAAACGUAGAGGAAUUACAACGAAAAGUUUUAUCAAUUAUUGAAUCGCGCACGAUUGCCAAAUGAUAAACUUCUACAACCUGUUGAUUCUACGAAUACCAGUAAAUAGGCAACAAAAUUCUAGUUAAGAGAAUUUUGGAAAAUAAGAAAAAGUCUGUUGUUCAUAAAAACUGCUGCUUCACAUCAUAACAAACGUUAAAAUGACAAAAUCCUAAAAGCGGAAUCCAAAACGGAAAAGGAAACUAGUAAGGAAAAUUAAAAAAAUAACCCGAAAACAAUAAAAUGUAAUUUUGAAGGC